AGACCAGACUCCUACGGGAGGCAGCAGUGAGGAAUAUUGGUCAAUGGGCGGGAGCCUGAACCAGCCAAGUCGCGUGAGGGAAGACGGUCCUACGGAUUGUAGACCUCUUUUGCCGGGGAGCAACGGGGUCCUUGCGAGGGCCCGAUGAGAGUACCCGGAGAAAAAGCAUCGGCUAACUCCGUGCCAGCAGCCGCGGUAAUACGGAGGAUGCGAGCGUUAUCCGGAUUUACUGGGUGUAAAGGGCGUGUAGCCGGGAAGGCAAGUCAGAUGUGAAAUCUGGAGGCUCAACCUCCAAAUUGCAUUUGAAACUGUUUUUCUUGAGUACUGGAGAGGCAGACGGAAUUCCUUGUGUAGCGGUGAAAUGCGUAGAUAUAAGGAGGAACACCAGUGGCGAAGGCGGUCUGCUGGACAGCAACUGACGGUGAGGCGCGAAAGCGUGGGGAGCAAACAGGAUUAGAUACCCGUGUAG
rnacentral:rRNA from 1 species